UAGUAUUCUAUUGAGUGUGUAAAUAGAUUUUACUUCCCAAAUUAAAAAGCAAUUAGUCUAAACUUUUCUGGUUUCGGUAAUCCUUGCUUAAUCUCCUUAAAAGUCAUUCGUUGCUUUUUUCAUUCCAGUGAACUUCAAUCCAUCAGACUGUGUUGUUUACGAUUUUUUUAAAAUACCCACAAUGUUCAAACUUGCUAUGUGUUCGAUAAUUGUCAUUUUAAUUUCUCAACUAGAGAAAUCAAGCCAACAGGACGAUGAGAAACCUACACCUUUUAAUAAUAACCUUUACGAAGCCAUCACUGAUUUCCUUGAGGAACAGAAACAAGCAAAAAAAGAAUCACUUGAGCUCUUUGACACGAAUAAGGAUGGCUUCUUGGAUGUCGAGGAACUCAUUGUUGCUGCUGAGGCUGGCAAAUUAUUUGAAACUUUUUCUGGAUACAAGUUCAAUGGUUACGAUGUACAAGAAAAGUUGGACCAGUGGGAUUUUGACAACGACAACAAAUUGUCUUUCGAGGAAUGGGUCAACUUUUAAGGAACCGGAAGGACUACGGCAGUCGUACGAUAGAUAUGCUAACCCGGACAAUGUUUUUAUGAUAAGCCCCGUUCUCCAAGUUUUAAGCAGUGUAACUUUCCAAUCUAAUUCUUAACAAUAAAAAUUGAAUUAUUUGCUAGAAUUACAA